rnacentral:guide_RNA from 1 species
GGAUACGGCGUAAUAGAGCAUAGAAAUUGAGUGAAUUAUUUAU